GGGCACAUGGUGUAGUUGGUUAUCACGCUCGCUUAGCAUAUUACAUAAGCCUGCGAGAGGUGUUGGGUUCAAUUCCCAAUGUGUCCA